GAGUUUGAUCGUGGCUCAGGACGAACGCUGGCGGCGUGCUUAACACAUGCAAGUCGAACGGGGUCCAUCCUUCGGGAGAAGACCUAGUGGCGAACGGGUGAGUAACACGUGAGCAACCUGUCCCGAAGUCUGGGAUAAAGCCAGGGAAACUUGGUCUAAUACCGGAUGUCUUUAACGACUCUUCUGUGUUGUUAAGGAAAGAUUUAUCGCUUCGGGAGGGGCUCGCGGCCUAUCAGCUUGUUGGUGGGGUAAUGGCCUACCAAGGCGUCGACGGGUAGCUGGUCUGACGAGGAUGAUCAGCCACACUGGACUGAGACAGGCCCAGACUCCUACGGGAGGCAGCAGUGGGGAAUCUUGCGCGAAUGGCGAAAGCCUGACGCAGCAACGCCGCGUGAGGGAUGAAGGCUUUCGGGUU
rnacentral:rRNA from 1 species